GACGAACGCUGGCGGCGUGGAUUAGGCAUGCAAGUCGAACGGUAUCAGUCCUUUCGGGGGUGAGAGAGUGGCGAACUGGUGAGUAACACGUAGGUUAUCUACCCUCGAAGACGGGGACAACCCAGGGGAAACUUGGGCUAAUACCGGAUGUGAGCAACUUUUAGUUGUUUGAAAGGUGGCGUAAGCUGUCGCUUGGGGAUGAGCCUGCGUCCUAUUAGUUAGUUGGUGAGAUAACGGCUCACCUAGGCAAUGAUAGGUAGGCGGCCUUAACGGGUGGUCGCCCACACUGGGAUUGAGAUACGGCCCAGACUCCUACGGGAGGCAGCAGUAAGGAAUAUUGGGCAAUGGUCGAAAGACUGACCCAGCCAUGCCGCGUGCAGGAUGAAGGCCCUAUGGGUUGUAAACUGCUUUUAGCCGGGAAUAAACACCCGUUUUAUAACGGGCCCGAAGGUACCGGCUGAAUAAGCAUCGGCUAACUCCGUG
rnacentral:rRNA from 1 species